UGACUGAAUCAUAAAAUCAUUAUAUGAUAAUCAAUAAUUAUAUGAAAAUUUGUAUUCAUUCAUUCAUUCAUUCAUUCAUUCAUUCAUCUUCAGGAACUGCUUAACAUCCUUGUCAGGGUCAUGGUGGAUCCAAAGAAAUCCCUUGAAUACUGGAUGCAAGACAUGGCCGACCCUACCUUCUGCUCCUCACUAUUCAGGCAGGAUUUUGGGCCUCAUGUUCAUCUAGCGACAGAAGCAUGAUGAGCCACUAUGGAAUUGCUUCAGAGGAUCUACUGGCUCGUUGAGGUUCAGGCAUGGAGACGCGCUGAGAACAAGAAAAAUUGUUUUGGGCCCCCGGGAGUUGAAUCGAUAGCCUAAGAUUGGACAGUGCUGAGCGCCUCAGCACGGAGACCUGCUCUCUCAGGGGGCAGUGUAGGGAGCGCUUCAAGGUGGAAUAACUAUCUUUAGCUGGGGUGUGUUUGGAAACACAGGACGAAUAAGAGAUGAGUGACCGAGGUGAUGGAAAUAUAGAGAGACCAUCAUCAUCGCCCCAGCUUUUUUUUUUUUUUUCCCAAGUGCUCCAUGCCGCGUCUGUGUGAAAGAUGCCUCCAUCAGCAAAAUGGUGGUGACAGUCUGAGGGGAAUGAGCUCAUGAAGUGAUUACGAGAGCGGGUGGCAGUCAUUCAGACCCCCGAGAUGACAGCACAUCCACGGAGAAAGUGCCCGACUGGCAUUAAUCCCAGAGAAAAUCGCCAGCCUCCAGGAAUGCAUUGUGGGCCUGAUAAAAUGGUUGUUAUAAUAUGCACUUAAUCAGCAGGUCCUCUCCAAGUCUCCUGGUAUUUCCAAACUGGAGGGAGUCUUUGUGAGGGACCUGAAACAUCAAAGCCAAAUGACAGAGUCUUAUUAUCUUUUAAUGCAGAAUAUGGC
ensembl:lncRNA